rnacentral:rRNA from 1 species
CCAGAGCCAUAUCUCCCUGCAGUUCUAGCCUGGUUUUGCACUGAAGCUAAGCAGGAUUGAGCUAGGUCACUACCUGGACGGGAGACCUCCAGGGAAAAUUUUGCUGCUGGA